AUUGAACGCUGGCGGCAGUCUUAACACAUGCAAGUCGAACGUGUGGCGGACGGGUGAGUAAUGCUUGGGAAUCUAGCUUAUGGAGGGGGAUAACUACGGGACACUGUAGCUAAUACCGCGUACCAUAUGAUGAGCCCAAGAGGGAUUAGGUAGUUGGUGAGGUAAAGGCUCACCAAGCCGACGAUCUCUAGCUGGUCUGAGAGGAUGACCAGCCACACGUGGACGGAGAAACGGCAAAGACGCCCACGAGAGGCAGCAGUGGGGAGUAUUGCGCAAGGGGCGCAACCUGACGCGUCCAAGCCGCGUGAAUGAAGAAGGCAUUCGGGUUGUAAGGUUCUUUCGGUAGCGAGGCGUUAAUGAAAGAAGAAGCAACGACUAACUCCGUGCCAGCAGCCGCGGUAAUUC
rnacentral:rRNA from 1 species